GACGGAGGGUGCUAGCGUUGUUCGGAAUUACUGGGCGUAAAGGGCGCGUAGGCGGCCUGGUCAGUCGGAUGUGAAAGCCCGGGGCUCAACCCCGGAACGGCAUCCGAGACGGCCAGGCUGGAGACCGGGAGAGGAGAGUGGAAUAGCCAGUGUAGAGGUGAAAUUCGUAGAUAUUGGGAAGAACACCGGUGGCGAAGGCGGCGCUCUGGACCGAGACUGACGCUGAGGCGCGAAGGCGUGGGGAGCAAACAGG
rnacentral:rRNA from 1 species